GAUGAACGCUAGCUACAGGCUUAACACAUGCAAGUCGAGGGGAAACGACAUCGAAAGCUUGCUUUUGAUGGGCGUCGACCGGCGCACGGGUGAGUAACGCGUAUCCAACCUGCCCACCACUUGGGGAUAACCUUGCGAAAGUAAGACUAAUACCCAAUGAUAUCUCUAGAAGACAUCUGAAAGAGAUUAAAGAUUUAUCGGUGAUGGAUGGGGAUGCGUCUGAUUAGCUUGUUGGCGGGGUAACGGCCCACCAAGGCAACGAUCAGUAGGGGUUCUGAGAGGAAGGUCCCCCACAUUGGAACUGAGACACGGUCCAAACUCCUACGGGAGGCAGCAGUGAGGAAUAUUGGUCAAUGGACGAGAGUCUGAACCAGCCAAGUAGCGUGCAGGAAGACGGUCCUAUGGGUUGUAAACUGCUUUUAUAAGGGAAUAAAGUGAGUCUCGUGAGACUUUUUGCAUGUACCUUAUGAAUAAGGACCGGCUAAUUCCGUG
rnacentral:rRNA from 1 species